UUGAACGCUGGCGGAAUGCUUUACACAUGCAAGUCGAGCGGCAGCGCGGGGCAACCUGGCGGCGAGCGGCGAACGGGUGAGUAAUAUAUCGGAACGUACCCUGUCGUGGGGGAUAACACAUCGAAAGAUGUGCUAAUACCGCAUACGACCUGAGGGUGAAAGCGGGGGAUCGCAAGACCUCGCGCGAUAGGAGCGGCCGAUAUCGGAUUAGCUAGUUGGUGAGGUAAAGGCUCACCAAGGCGACGAUCCGUAGCUGGUCUGAGAGGACGGCCAGCCACACUGGAACUGAGACACGGUCCAGACUCCUACGGGAGGCAGCAGUGGGGAAUUUUGGACAAUGGGCGGAAGCCUGAUCCAGCCAUUCCGCGUGAGUGAAGAAGGCCUUCGGGUUGUAAAGCUCUUUCGGCAGGAACGAAACGGUCUUUUCUAAUACAAGAGGCUAAUGACGGUACCUGAAGAAGAAGCACCGGCUAACUACGU
rnacentral:rRNA from 1 species